rnacentral:rRNA from 1 species
GAUGAACGCUGGCGGCGUGCUUAACACAUGCAAGUCGAACGAAACACCUUAUUUGAUUUUCUUCGGAACUGAAGAUUUGGUGAUUGAGUGGCGGACGGGUGAGUAACGCGUGGGUAACCUGCCCUGUACAGGGGGAUAACAGUCAGAAAUGACUGCUAAUACCGCAUAAGACCACAGCACCGCAUGGUGCAGGGGUAAAAACUCCGGUGGUACAGGAUGGACCCGCGUCUGAUUAGCUGGUUGGUGAGGUAACGGCUCACCAAGGCGACGAUCAGUAGCCGGCUUGAGAGAGUGAACGGCCACAUUGGGACUGAGACACGGCCCAAACUCCUACGGGAGGCAGCAGUGGGGAAUAUUGCACAAUGGGGGAAACCCUGAUGCAGCGACGCCGCGUGAGUGAAGAAGUAUUUCGGUAUGUAAAGCUCUAUCAGCAGGGAAGAAAAUGACGGUACCUGACUAAGAAGCCCCGGCUAGCUACGUG